UACGUAGGUGGCAAGCGUUGUCCGGAAUUAUUGGGUGUAAAGGGAGCGUAGGCGGAUUCGUAAGUUGAAUGUGAAACCAAUCGGCUCAACCGGUUGUUGCGUUCAAAACUGCGGAUCUUGAGUGAAGUAGAGGCAGGCGGAAUUCCUAGUGUAGCGGUGAAAUGCGUAGAUAUUAGGAGGAACACCAGUGGCGAAGGCGGCCUGCUGGGCUUUUACUGACGCUGAGGCUCGAAAGCGUGGGUAGCAAACAGGAUUAGAUACCC
rnacentral:rRNA from 1 species